UGCCGGGUCGUCCAACGGCAGGACUGCGGCCUUUGGAGCCGCCUAUCGAGGUUCGAAUCCUCGCCCGGCAG
rnacentral:tRNA from 1 species